UCGCCCCUUAUCUCUCUAGAAGGGCAAUCAAAAGAAAAAUUAUACCAUGAGCCAAAAAAGAAAAGAAUGAGCUAUUUGAAAAAAGUGAAAAAAGAUUUAACUCCUGAUCUUCAGAGCAUUAUUUUUGAUAAAAUAAUAUAACCUCAUGAAGUCAAAAAAAAUAUUCAGAGAAUUGUAUCUCUAUCUUGCAAUGAAGUGGUACUGGCCAAUGCUCAUUAUACCAAAUAUCAAUAUCAAAGCCACCCAAACCAUGAUCAGAGCUCUAUACAAGGGAUUGGUUAGAAAAGUUAUCAUAAACUAUUCUUAUCCUAUGGACAUAUUCCC
rnacentral:lncRNA from 1 species